rnacentral:pre_miRNA from 1 species
AAACAGCCCCUUAUGUUUUGAUUUUUUGGCAGUUUUGGACCCCCAGUCCAUUAGUGAGGUGCCACGUGGCCCCCUAAAUAAUACACGUGGCACCUCACUAAUGGACUGGGGGUCCAAAACUGCCAAAGAAUCAAAACAUAGGGGGUUGUUU